GAUGAACGCUGGCGGCGUGCUUAACACAUGCAAGUCGAACGAGAAAUGAUAUUACGAUCUCUUCGGAGUGACAGUUUUAUUUCGAGUGGCGGACGGGUGAGUAACGCGUGAGCAACCUGCCCUAUACCGGGGGAUACCAGUUGGAAACGACUGUUAAUACCGCAUAAGCGCACGAUAAGACAUCUUGUUGUGUGAAAAACUCCGGUGGUAUAGGAUGGGCUCGCGUAUGAUUAGCCAGUUGGCGGGGUAAAGGCCCACCAAAGCGACGAUCAUUAGCCGACCUGAGAGGGCGACCGGCCACAUUGGGACUGAGACACGGCCCAAACUCCUACGGGAGGCAGCAGUGGGGAAUAUUGCACAAUGGGCGAAAGCCUGAUGCAGCGACGCCGCGUGAGUGAGGAAAGUAUUUCGGUAUGUAAAAGCUCUAUCAAGCCAGGGAAA
rnacentral:rRNA from 1 species